rnacentral:rRNA from 1 species
GAUGAACGCUGGCGGCGUGCCUAAUACAUGCAAGUCGAGCGAAUGGAUUAAGAGCUUGCUCUUAUGAAGUUAGCGGCGGACGGGUGAGUAACGCGUGGGUAACCUGCCCAUAAGACUGGGAUAACUCCGGGAAACCGGGGCUAAUACCGGAUAACAUUUUGAACCGCAUGGUUCGAAAUUGAAAGGCGGCUUCGGCUGUCACUUAUGGAUGGACCCGCGUCGCAUUAGCUAGUUGGUGAGGUAACGGAUCACCAAGGCAACGAUGCGUAGCCGACCUGAGAGGGUGAUCGGCCACACUGGGACUGAGACACGGCCCAGACUCCUACGGGAGGCAGCAGUAGGGAAUCUUCCGCAAUGGACGAAAGUCUGACGGAGCAACGCCGCGUGAGUGAUGAAGGCUUUCGGGUCGUAAAACUCUGUUGUUAGGGAAGAACAAGUGCUAGUUGAAUAAGCUGGCACCUUGACGGUACCUAACCAGAAAGCCACGGCUAACUACGUGCCAGCCGCCGCCGUAA